GUCCGUCAGUCUGUCAGUCAGUCCGUCCGUCCCAUGAAUAUUUUUCGUCGCAUUUAUCUCAGGAACUACUUGACAAGGAUUUCUAAAAUUUGGUUUCAGGGUUUAUAUAAGUCAGUUAUACCGUGUGAUGCGUUUUCAGAUUCAUCACUCGACAACUUCCUGUUUACUGAACACUUGUAUCAUUUUACACAUAAUAGCCAAGUUGAAAAGUUUUGUCGCAUUUUUCUCAGGAACUACUUGACAAGGAAUUCUGAAAUUUGGUUUCAGGGUUUAUAUAAGUCAGUUAUACCGUGUAAUGUGUUUUCAGAUUCAUCACUUGACAACUUCCUGUUUACCGAAAUAUUUCGGCGGGG
rnacentral:lncRNA from 1 species